rnacentral:misc_RNA from 1 species
GGGAAAACCAUUUUCUUGUUAUCAUUGAUCGUGCUUUAGUUGUUUUUGGCGGAAUUUGGCUUUUCUUAAUUGCCAUAAUUUGAGAGAGAUUAAUGGGUUUAAUGGGUUGAAAUCUUAAAUUCCUGAUAUUUGAUAUCUGUUUUAGUUUCAUUAAAUGGAGUCGACCUCUUCUUAGUCCGGUGGUUGCUGCAAAAGACGGGAGCUACUUUGCAAAAUCGAUUUCGUUUUUGAGAAGUGAGGGCAAGAAUGGCUGUUUCUUUUACUCGGUUUUCAUGGUGGUUAUGGAGUGGCAAGGGGAAAGAGCCUGUCUCAAAUGGUUCCUCUCUGAAUCCAGAACCCCAAUCAGUAGNNNNNNNCUUGAUUCUGUUAAAUUCCCUGCAAGGAAUUUAGCCUCACCAAGAAAGGUUAAAAGGAAAUGGCAUAGUAGGGAAGAUAGGAGACAUGAUAAGCAGUAUGGUGAUGCAGUUUUGGUGCCAUCUGAUGGCGGGGUUUGCAUGUCAGGGUCGGAAUCCGAUGACCCAGAUUGGUCAAUCGGGUGGGUGGAGCCUCAUGGACCUGAUUUUAGAAGUGAUGAUGAGAUUGAUGAUGGCUUUGCCGUGUUGGUUCCUUGUUACAGACCUGGUUGCAAGGAAUUAGUGGAAAAUUCAACUAACCAGCUUUUAAGUGCUAUAAAGAAUUUACCAAAUGAGUUCUCUUCUGAGGGAAAGAACUACAUGGAAUGGCUUUCUUCCUUCAGAAUUUCUCAAGUCUAGAGUUGGCUGGCGAUUGCUGGAACAGUCAUUGCAUGAUACAUUUCAAUUAGCCAGCCUGUUAUGAAAUUUAUUUUGUGAGUGAUAGAAAAAAUAGUCUAAUCAGCAAAAUUAUCUACGCACUACCUUCACACAUUGAAGUGCAAAGGAUUAUGUGCCAACUAUAUGCCGAUGCAAUCAAGCUGAUGGUAAUGUUGUCUAGUUUAGAGAAAAUGUUAAACUUAUUUAAUUUAGAGUUGAGUUAGAAGAAAGAUGUUUCUCAGCGCAUAUCAUGGUAUGCUAGUGAUAUUUCUAUGAGUAGAUGCUGAUCAACUGGUUGACAUGGAAAUAUGAGAUGGGAUGGGAUUUCUUUUUGUAAAUACUACUGCUGCUGUGAAUAUAUAUGCUUUUGAGCUUAUUAGUACUCGUAAAUAAUUCUUAUAUUUCC